GUGCUCACUUCGGCAGCUCACCCACUAAAACUGGAAUGACACAGAGAGGACAGCAUGGCCCCAGCGCAAAGAUGCCAAGGCAAAUCUGUGAAGCGCUCCAUAUUGGG